GUGUUGAAAUAGGGUCAAACUGUAUUUCUUAUGGCAUUUAAAUUACAAUCUUACAUUUAUAAACCUUUCAUUUGUUCCAAAAAUUGCUUUCAUACUGUAAAUGAUGAUGAUGUUGUUUGCCUCAUCCACAAAUCUCUUGCGUUGAGCACACAAUUGUCGAACCCUUUUGAAGAGCUUCGACAUCGACGCACUUGAAGUUCAUUGCACUAGCAAAUAUGGUUCCUUGAAAAGAAAAGAAUGCAGUCUUUUGCAUGCAUAGCUCACCACCAGGAGGACUUUUGCCGUGGAAUUGUCUGCGCUCCAUCGUGCGGACGACCUGCUCACAAAUUUCCCACCUUUGACGUCAGGAUUACCUAACACGGCGGCGGACCCAAAUUCCCACCUGCUGGAUUGACAAGAUCACCUCUCAAACACCGAACAAAUUCGCCGACACAAAGAGCCAUGGAGCCAAGCCCUAAAAAUCGGAUGCUGGUGGACACGUUUGAGCUGCGGAGACAGUGGAUUGACAGGAGAUGAGAUCGUUCGUGCUCGGGUUUGUGAGCUUAACGAAGGCAUGUGCUGAGGGAUCAAUGAGGAAAUGAAGGGAGCUUGUGCUUUUUUUUCCCCAUUCUUCUUCUUCCUCUUCUUCUUCAAACUGACGAGUCAGUAAGGUGAGGUGUUCGGGGCGAUUUCGUUGAGAAUGUGCUUCCGAUUGUUACUGAGUGUGGUUUUCCUCAGUGUGACCUCAUGGUGGCCGUCGGUGCCAGUGAAGUACUCAAACCGCACGAAUUCGGCAAUUCAGGUGAUAUCGUGGGUAUAGAGCAACAGUGAUGGACAGAGGAAGCAGGCGACGAAUUGUACAUUUUCAGAGCGGGAUCGAUGCCUCCACGCGGAUCCCGGAUUGCGCAACAAGUCUCAA
rnacentral:lncRNA from 1 species